CAGUAGCCGCGGUAAUACGAAGGGUGCAAGCGUUACUCGGAAUCACUGGGCGUAAAGCGUGCGUAGGUGGUGGUUUAAGUCCGUUGUGAAGGCCCUGGGCUCAACCUGGGAAUUGCAGUGGAUACUGGGUCACUAGAGUGUGGUAGAGGAUAGUGGAAUUUCCGGUGUAGCAGUGAAAUGCGUAGAGAUCGGAAGGAACAUCUGUGGCGAAGGCGACUAUCUGGGCCAACACUGACGUUCAUGCCCGAAAGCGUGGGUAGCAAACAGGAUUAGAUACCCCCGUAGUCCCUGUCUCUUAUAC
rnacentral:rRNA from 1 species